rnacentral:rRNA from 1 species
GACGAACGCUGGCGGCGUGCUUAACACAUGCAAGUCGAACGAAGAGCGAUGGAAGCUUGCUUCUAUCAAUCUUGGUGGCGAACGGGUGAGUAACGCGUAAUCAACCUGCCCUUCAGAGGGGGACAACAGUUGGAAACGACUGCUAAUACCGCAUACGAUCUAAUCUCGGCAUCGAGGAUAGAUGAAAGGUGGCCUCUACAUGUAAGCUAUCACUGAAGGAGGGGAUUGCGUCUGAUUAGCUAGUUGGGGGGGUAACGGCCCACCAAGGCGAUGAUCAGUAGCCGGUCUGAGAGGAUGAACGGCCACAUUGGGACUGAGACACGGCCCAGACUCCUACGGGAGGCAGCAGUGGGGAAUCUUCCGCAAUGGACGAAAGUCUGACGGAGCAACGCCGCGUGAGUGAUGACGGCCUUCGGGUUGUAAAGCUCUGUUAAUCGGGACGAAAGGCCUUCUUGCGAAUAGUGAGAAGGAUUGACGGUACCGGAAUAGAAAGCCACGGCUAACUACGCG